rnacentral:rRNA from 1 species
AGCGAACGCUGGCGGCAUGCCUUACACAUGCAAGUCGAACGGCAGCACGGGAGCAAUCCUGGUGGCGAGUGGCGAACGGGUGAGUAAAGUAUCGGAACGUGCCCAGUCGUGGGGGAUAACGUAGCGAAAGCUACGCUAAUACCGCAUACGAUCUAUGGAUGAAAGCGGGGGAUCGCAAGACCUCGCGCGAUUGGAGCGGCCGAUAUCAGAUUAGGUAGUUGGUGAGGUAAAGGCUCACCAAGCCGACGAUCUGUAGCUGGUCCGAGAGGACGACCAGCCACACUGGGACUGAGACACGGCCCAGACUCCUACGGGAGGCAGCAGUGGGGAAUUUUGGACAAUGGGCGCAAGCCUGAUCCAGCAAUGCCGCGUGCAGGAUGAAGGCCUUCGGGUUGUAAACUGCUUUUGUACGGAGCGAAAAGGCUUCCACUAAUACUGGGGGCUCAUGACGGUACCGUAAGAAUAGGCACCGGCUAACUACGUGCCAGCCGCCGCGGUAAAAC